CGAGUAUAAUUUUUAUUGCAAUGGCACAAAAAAUAUUUAUACAAUUAGUAACUAAAGAACAUAAGAAAGAUAAUUUCAUAUUGUAUGUUGUGGCGUACAGAACCGAAUCUAUAUAAAAAAAAUUACAAAAUGUACCACAUAUAAAUCAGACGUACACCCCGAGAGAAAAUUACUAUACGGUGACAGUCUGGGAAUGGCUCGCGGCUAGACAAAACAGUGGAGAUGGUCGUGCGGUCCACAAAAUAAAAAUAAUCUGAAGUUAUAUAAGGGGCGCCAGGUAAAUUGGCCCACAGCCUUCCCUACGUUACUAUUUAAUAAACCACCAACUUACCAAUAGGUUUACUACCAAAAUACUAAGUAUAGUAUACAACCUGAAUAAAUAAAAAAAUAAAUGAAAUUGUCUGAGAUUAGCAAUUAUUCAAUUUUAAUAAAUAUGUUCCCAAGAUAUUUGAUAACAAUUACAUAUUACAAUAUUUUAUUUUAUUUAACUUCACCCUCGGCUGAAAUAAGGUAUUAAAAUGCGGCUUCUACUUGCCUAACAAAAAAAAUGCAUAUGUUAUUUCUAUUUAAUUGCACGGUAAAAGGUGUGUAAAAAAGUACCGGACGCUAAGGGGUGUGUGGUUCAAUACCAA
rnacentral:lncRNA from 1 species